AGUGAACGCUGGCGGUGGGCCUAACACAUGCAAGUCGAACGGCAGCACAGUAAGAGCUUGCUCUUACGGGUGGCGAGUGGCGGACGGGUGAGGAAUACAUCGGAAUCUACUUUUUCGUGGGGGAUAACGUAGGGAAACUUACGCUAAUACCGCAUACGACCUACGGGUGAAAGCAGUGGUUCUUCGGACCUUGCGCGAUUCAAUGAGCCGAUGUCGGAGUAGCUAGUUGGCGGGGUAAAGGCCCACCAAGGCGACGAUACGUAGCUGGUCUGAGAGGAUGAUCAGCCACACUGGAACUGAGACACGGUCCAGACUCCUACGGGAGGCAGCAGUGGGGAAUAUUGGACAAUGGGCGCAAGCCUGAUCCAGCCAUACCGCGUGGGUGAAGAAGGCCUUCGGGUUGUAAAGCCCUUUUGUUGGGAAAGAAAAGCAGCAGGUGAAUACCCCGCUGUUCUGACGGUACCCAAAGAAUAAGCACCGGCUAACUUCGUG
rnacentral:rRNA from 1 species